rnacentral:rRNA from 4 species
GGAGGAAAAGAACUAACAAGGAUUCCCCUAGUAACUGCGAGUGAAGCGGGAAAAGCUCAAAUUUAAAAUCUGGCAGUCUCUGGCUGUCCGAGUUGUAAUCUAGAGAAGUGCUGCCCGCGCUGGACCGUGUACAAGUCUCCUGGGAUGGAGCGUCAUAGAGGGUGAGAAUCCCGUCUCUGACACGGACUACCAGGGCUUUGUGGUACGCUCUCAAAGAGUCGAGUUGUUUGGGAAUGCAGCUCAAAAUGGGUGGUAAAUUCCAUCUAAAGCUAAAUAUUGGCGAGAGACCGAUAGCGAACAAGUACCGUGAGGGAAAGAUGAAAAGAACUUUGGAAAGAGAGUUAAACAGUACGUGAAAUUGCUGAAAGGGAAACGCUUGAAGUCAGUCACAUUGGCUGGGGAUCAGCCUCGCUCUUUUGCGUGGUGUACUUCCUGGUUGAUGGGUCAGCAUCAAUUUUGACCGCUGGAAAAAGGCUUGAGGAAUGUGGCAGCUCCGGCUGUGUUAUAGCUUCUUGUCACAUACAGCGGUUGGGAUUGAGGAACUCAGCACGCCGCAAGGCCGGGUUUCGACCACGUUCGUGCUUAGGAUGCUGGCAUAAUGGCUUUA